UGGGGAUGACGUCAAAUCAUCAUGCCCCUUAUGACCUGGGCUACACACGUGCUACAAUGGGCGGUACAAAGGGUCGCGAACCCGCGAGGGGGAGCCAAUCCCAAAAAGCCGCUCUCAGUUCGGAUUGCAGGCUGCAACUCGCCUGCAUGAAGCCGGAAUCGCUAGUAAUCGCGGAUCAGCAUGCCGCGGUCGAAUACGUUCCCGGGCCUU
rnacentral:rRNA from 1 species